rnacentral:rRNA from 1 species
AUUGAACGCUGGCGGCAGGCCUAACACAUGCAAGUCGAGCGAGCGGCGGACGGGUGAGGCAUGUGUCUGGACUGUCCGUUAGGGGGGGAGAACUACUGGAAACGGUGGCUAAUAUCGCACACUGUCGCAGUACGCAUAUGGGAUUAGCUAGUAGGUAUGGGAUAGGCUUACCUAGGCGAAGAUCCCUAGAUGGUCUGAGAGGAUGAUCAGCCACACUGGGACUGAGACACGGCCCAGACUCCUACGGAGGCAGCAGUGGGGAAUAUUGCACAAUGGGCGCAAGCCUGAUGCAGCCAUGCCGCGUGUAUGAAGAAGGCCCUCGGGUUGUAAAGUACUUUCAGUCGGGAGGCGUUACCGGCAGAAGAAGCACCGGCUAACUCCGUGCCAGCCGCCGCGGUAAUUC